GAUGAACGCUGGCGGCGUGCCUAAUACAUGCAAGUCGAGCGAACAGACGAGGAGCUUGCUCCUCUGACGUUAGCGGCGGACGGGUGAGUAACACGUGGAUAACCUACCUAUAAGACUGGGAUAACUUCGGGAAACCGGAGCUAAUACCGGAUAAUAUAUUGAACCGCAUGGUUCAAUAGUGAAAGACGGUUUUGCUGUCACUUAUAGAUGGAUCCGCGCUGCAUUAGCUAGUUGGUAAAGUAACGGCUUACCAAGGCGACGAUGCGUAGCCGACCUGAGAGGGUGAUCGGCCACACUGGAACUGAGACACGGUCCAGACUCCUACGGGAGGCAGCAGUAGGGAAUCUUCCGCAAUGGGCGAAAGCCUGACGGAGCAACGCCGCGUGAGUGAUGAAGGUCUUCGGAUCGUAAAACUCUGUUAUUAGGGAAGAACAAAUGUGUAAGUAACCAUGCACGUCUUGACGGUACCUAAUCAGAAAGCCACGGCUAACUACGUG
rnacentral:rRNA from 1 species